rnacentral:rRNA from 1 species
GCGGUGGAUGAUGUGGAUUAAUUCGAUGCAACGCGAAAACUUACCUACCCUUGACAUUGUCUGGAACCUUGCUGAGAGGCGAGGGUGCCUUCGGGAGCCAGAACACAGGUGCUGCAUGGCUGUCGUCAGCUCGUGUCGUGAGAUGUUGGGUUAAGUCCCGCAACGAGCGCAACCCUUGUCAUUAGUUGCCAUCAUUUAGUUGGGCACUCUAAUGAGACUGCCGGUGACAAACCGGAGGAAGGUGGGGAUGACGUCAAGUCCUCAUGGCCCUUAUGGGUAGGGCUUCACACGUCAUACAAUGGUCGGUACAGAGGGUUGCCAAGCCGCGAGGUGGAGCCAAUCCCUUAAAGCCGAUCGUAGUCCGGAUCGUAGUCUGCAACUCGACUACGUGAAGUCGGAAUCGCUAGUAAUCGUGGAUCAGAAUGUCACGGUGAAUACGUUCCCGGGUCUU